rnacentral:rRNA from 1 species
UACGUAGGUGGCAAGCGUUGUCCGGAUUUACUGGGCGUAAAGAGCGCGCAGGCGGUCGUUCAAGUCGCGUGUGAAAGCCCCCGGCUCAACUGGGGAGGGUCACGCGAUACUGAUCGACUCGAAGGCAGGAGAGGGAAGUGGAAUUCCCGGUGUAGUGGUGAAAUGCGUAGAUAUCGGGAGGAACACCGGUGGCGAAGGCGGAUCUCUGGGCCUGGCCUGACGCUGAGGAGCGAAAGCGUGGGGAGCGAACAGG